rnacentral:lncRNA from 1 species
GUCAUCCCCUCCUCCCUGCGUAGCUUUCAGCGUGCGGCAAAUCCAUCGUACUUGACGGAUUUAAACACUUCGUGCGGCGGUUGACUCAUGAGGCAAUAAGCUCUUUUAGUGAAGCCAGCAGACAAUUACUUGCAAAAGUGUUGCAGGCCCCUGAAUGAGCAUUCCGCACGUGACAGAGAGUUAUAACACUGAUUGUUGGCGGGCCAGUUGGUACAUACUGAGCGUGAAACAGCGCGCCGAGACGGGACAGAAAACGAAAAGAAGCGCAAGACUGUUAUAACUGCUGUCAUUUGGUAUUACUACUUCUUUUUCGCGGUGGGGUUAAGGCAAUCUUUUUGGGGAGAUUUACGGCAGUGCUCAAACAACCAGGAGCGCCGCUCGAAAUUCGAAAAUCUCCCGGGCAAAUCUGGAGAGUUGGCAGGUGUGUGCAUCCCCUACAAUCGUGCAUGUUGACAUUGUGGGGCCUAGCUCCUCCGCGAAGCGUCCGCUUUCUCUUUGGGUACUUGUCCAUUUUUCACAGGAUGUCUAAUUGCAAGAACAUGGCUUGCUUCGAUAAGGCAGGCAUGUGUAAAUGCAGC